rnacentral:rRNA from 1 species
CCUACGGGAGGCCGCAGUGGGGAAUAUUGGACAAUGGGCGAAAGCCUGAUCCAGCCAUGCCGCGUGUGUGAAGAAGGCCUUCGGGUUGUAAAGCACUUUCAGUGGGGAAGAAAGCCUUGGGGCUAAUACCCUCGAGGAAGGACAUCACCCACAGAAGAAGCACCGGCUAACUCCGUGCCAGCAGCCGCGGUAAUACGGAGGGUGCGAGCGUUAAUCGGAAUUACUGGGCGUAAAGCGCGCGUAGGCGGUCUGAUAAGCCGGUUGUGAAAGCCCCGGGCUCAACCUGGGAACGGCAUCCGGAACUGUCAGGCUAGAGUGCAGGAGAGGAAGGUAGAAUUCCCGGUGUAGCGGUGAAAUGCGUAGAGAUCGGGAGGAAUACCAGUGGCGAAGGCGGCCUUCUGGACUGACACUGACGCUGAGGUGCGAAAGCGUGGGUAGCAAACAGGAUUAGAUACCCUAGUAGUC